rnacentral:lncRNA from 10 species
AACAUGUGUUCCUGCUCAGGGGAGAGGCGAGUAUUUACAUCUGUCCCAUGAUAAAUCAGCAGCCGGCUGUUUGUCAUGUGGCAGGGAGUUCCUGCAUGAUCACCCCCAGCCUCAUUAGCCUGAUGAUUAUUUAUGAUUGCUUUACAUUUGUGGGGAACUCAGCCUGGCUCCCAGACAGCUGGAAGAAAAGAGGCCCAAAGGAGUUGAGGAAGGAGGCAAGAGAUGUGAAGAGGUGUUUUGACUCUCACACAGGAGCCUUGGUUCAGACUCAAAACCAGAGAGACAAUGCCAGCAUCAGCUCCACGUCUGUCCCAUUGCUUGCCAGCUCUGCAGAUGGCCUGGCUACAGGUGAGGGCUUAAAGAUGUUCAGGGACUUGCUGGAGGCCACGUCCUUGAGCUGGAAGCACCAUCCACAUCUUCCAGUGUUGGCUUUUGGAUCCCUCCAUUGCUCCUGAAGGAGGUCUGAAGUCCAGGGCAAAGAUAAGCAAAGGCAACUAAUUCAUUAAUUCUUUCACUGUGGCUGCUCAUGGCUAAUAUGGUCAGAGAAACUCACCCUCUUCUUCUUUGAAAAGUUUCCAGCCUUCUAGAGGGGAAGAAAGAACCAGGAUUAGAACAUGUAGAAGCUUAAAUAUGGCACCAAGGACCUUACUGCAGCCCCAUGCCAUACACAUCCCACAGCGGAGGACUGUUUUGUUAGGCCAAUUGCUUCCCAAUGAUUGGGAAUUGGGUGGGUGUGUGUUGUCAGUAAAUGUUGCUGACUAAUGUCCACAACAG